UAGGGAAUCUUCGGCAAUGGGGGGAACCCUGACCGAGCAACGCCGCGUGAGUGAAGAAGGUUUUCGGAUCGUAAAGCUCUGUUGUUAAGGAAGAACGAGUGUGAGAAUGGAAAGUUCAUACUGUGACGGUACCUAAUCAGAAAGCCACGGCUAACUACGUGCCAGCAGCCGCGGUAAUGCGUAGGUGGCAAGCGUUAUCCGGAAUGAUUGGGCGUAAAGCGCGCGUAGGCGGUUUUUUAAGUCUGAUGUGAAAGCCCCCGGCUCAACCGGGGAGGGUCAAUGGAAACUGGUUGACUUGAGUGCAGAAGAGGAGAGUGGAAUUCAAUGUGUAGCGGUGAAAUGCGUAGAUAUAUGGAGAAACACAAGUGGCGAAGGCGACUAUCUGGUAUGUAACUGACGCUGAGGCUCGAAAGAGUGGGUAGCAAACAGG
rnacentral:rRNA from 1 species